GAUGAACGCUGGCGGCGUGCCUAAUACAUGCAAGUCGAGCGAACGGACGAGAAGCUUGCUUCUCUGAUGUUAGCGGCGGACGGGUGAGUAACACGUGGAUAACCUACCUAUAAGACUGGGAUAACUUCGGGAAACCGGAGCUAAUACCGGAUAAUAUUUUGAACCGCAUGGUUCAAAAGUGAAAGACGGUCUUGCUGUCACUUAUAGAUGGAUCCGCGCUGCAUUAGCUAGUUGGUAAGGUAACGGCUUACCAAGGCAACGAUGCAUAGCCGACCUGAGAGGGUGAUAGGCCACCCUGGAACUGAGACACGGUCCAGACUCCUACGGGAGGCAGCAGUAGGGAAUCUUCCGCAAUGGGCGAAAGCCUGACGGAGCAACGCCGCGUGAGUGAUGAAGGUCUUCGGAUCGUAAAACUCUGUUAUUAGGGAAGAACAUAUGUGUAAGUAACUGUGCACAUCUUGACGGUACCUAAUCAGAAAGCCACGGCUAACUACGUG
rnacentral:rRNA from 1 species